GAUGAACGCUGGCGGCAUGCCUAAUACAUGCAAGUCGAACGAGAGGAAGGAAAGCUUGCUUUCCUGAAUCUAGUGGCGAACGGGUGAGUAACACGUAGGUAACCUGCCCAUGUGCCCGGGAUAACUUCUGGAAACGGAUGCUAAAACCGGAUAGGUAGCAGACAAGCAUUUGACUGCUAUUAAAGUGGCCUUGGCCAUGAACAUGGAUGGACCUGCGGUGCAUUAGCUAGUUGGUGAGGUAACGGCCCACCAAGGCGACGAUGCAUAGCCGGCCUGAGAGGGCGGACGGCCACAUUGGGACUGAGACACGGCCCAAACUCCUACGGGAGGCAGCAGUAGGGAAUUUUCGUCAAUGGGGGGAACCCUGAACGAGCAAUGCCGCGUGAGCGAGGAAGGUCUUCGGAUCGUAAAGCUCUGUCGUAAGAGAAAAACGGCACUCAUAGGGAAUGAUGAGUGAGUGAUGGUAUCUUACCAGAAAGUCACGGCUAACUACGUGCCAGCAGCCGCUGUAAUAC
rnacentral:rRNA from 1 species